rnacentral:rRNA from 1 species
AUUGGACGCUGGCGGCAUGCCUUACACAUGCAAGUCGAACGGUAACGGGCCUUCGGGUGCCGACGAGUGGCGAACGGGUGAGUAAUACAUCGGAACGUGCCCGAUCGUGGGGGAUAACGAGGCGAAAGCUUUGCUAAUACCGCAUACGAUCUACGGAUGAAAGCAGGGGACCGCAAGGCCUUGCGCGGACGGAGCGGCCGAUGGCAGAUUAGGUAGUUGGUGGGAUAAAAGCUUACCAAGCCGACGAUCUGUAGCUGGUCUGAGAGGAUGAUCAGCCACACUGGGACUGAGACACGGCCCAGACUCCUACGGGAGGCAGCGGUGGGGAAUUUUGGACAAUGGGCGCAAGCCUGAUCCAGCCAUGCCGCGUGCAGGAUGAAGGCCUUCGGGUUGUAAACUGCUUUUGUACGGAACGAAAAGCCUUCUUUUAAUACAGGAGGGUCAUGACGGUACCGUAAGAAUAAGCACCGGCUAACUACGUG